rnacentral:sRNA from 1 species
AGAUCAUUUUCACUUAAUUUUCAACGAUAUAGGGUUACUGAUCAGCCUGUUGUAUAUGCAGAUAUAUGCUGGUAAUUGAUAGCUCCCCAAGCAAUCAUCUCAAAAAGGAAUCCUGGGGGAUUUCCAGAUUGGCCAGGCAAUCAAGUGGCGAGCUCCUUGGGCUCUUCUGACGCGAGUCCUCGAGCGGAAAUGGUCAGAAAUGACAUGUGGCCGGCGAUUUGCAUACGCACACGCACAUUUGCUAAAUUCCAGGAGGGCCAGCCUACUCCCAGGAAUCAAACAGAAUCCGACUCCUGCCAGCUGCGCCCUCUCCACUUCCGAUUUGCUGAAUAAUGCGUGAGUCAGGCACGCGCAGAGCUAGAAAGCUGGAGGCGACUGUACUUUUCGCGCCACCCCUGAGGGUUGCAAAACACUCGACGAGCCCACAAAGUUCGCAAUGAGCGUAAAUUCUGAUUCAGUUUUUGGCUCCGGGCUGAGCAUCCUCAAAUAUUAAUGGCAAAUUUUCCGCACUGGCACUAAAUUAAAAUUCAAUAAAUCACAAUUUGCUCUGA